UGGUGAGAACUGCGGUGAGGAAUGUGUACGGAUUGGGAACGCCGGAAUUGUACCGAGACGCCGAGAAAGAGGAUCCAAAGGCGGUGCUUGACGGAGUUGCAGUCGCUGGACUCGUCGGGAUCUUGCGUCAGCUCGGCGAUCUCGCUGAAUUUGCAGCGGAAGUGUUUCAUGGCUUACAAGAGCAAGUGAUGGUUACAUCCUCGAGAAGCAAUAAGUUGGUUGUUCGGGUGCAAAAAAUUGAAGCUGCACUUCCUCCACUUGAGAAAUCAGUAUUGGCGCAACAGAGUCAUUUACACUUUGCUUAUACAGCUGGAUCCAAUUGGCAUGCCCG
rnacentral:misc_RNA from 1 species